UAGAAUAAAAGUCGUAACAAGGUUUCCGUAGGUGAACCUGCGGAAGGAUCAUUAUUGAAUGAACUUGGUGUGGUUGUUGCUGGCUCUUUCGAGGGCAUGUGCACGCCCACCAUCCUCAUCUCUCCACCUGUGCACCUCUUGUAGACUUGGAUUGACUUUCCGAGGCAACUCGGUCGGGAGGAUUGCCGGCGCCAGCUGGCUUUCUUUGCAUUUCCAGGUCUACGUUUUUCAUAUACCCCAUUGUAUGUAACAGAAUGUAACAUUGGGCACUUGUGCCUAUAAACUUUAUACAACUUUCAGCAACGGAUCUCUUGGCUCUCGCAUCGAUGAAGAACGCAGCGAAAUGCGAUAAGUAAUGUGAAUUGCAGAAUUCAGUGAAUCAUCGAAUCUUUGAACGCACCUUGCGCUCCUUGGUAUUCCGAGGAGCAUGCCUGUUUGAGUGUCAUUAAAUUCUCAACCUUUAUCAACUUUUGUCGAUAAUGGCUUGGAUAUGGGGGUUAAUUUUGCUGGCUUCUUUACAGAUGGUCAGCUCCCCUUAAAUGCAUUAGCCGGUGCCCCGCGUGGACUGUCUAUUGGUGUGAUAAUUAUCUACGCCGUGGACAUCUGCAAUCAUAUGGGUUUGCACUGCUUCCAACUGUCUGUUGAAUCAGACAAUACAUGACAAUUGACCUCAAAUCA
rnacentral:rRNA from 1 species